rnacentral:rRNA from 1 species
GACGAACGCUGGCGGCGUGCCUAAUACAUGCAAGUAGAACGCUGAAGAGAGGAGCUUGCUCUUCUUGGAUGAGUUGCGAACGGGUGAGUAACGCGUAGGUAACCUGCCUUGUAGCGGGGGAUAACUAUUGGAAACGAUAGCUAAUACCGCAUAACAAUGGCUGACACAUGUCAUUUAUUUGAAAGGGGCAAUUGCUCCACUACAAGAUGGACCUGCGUUGUAUUAGCUAGUAGGUGAGGUAACGGCUCACCUAGGCGACGAUACAUAGCCGACCUGAGAGGGUGAUCGACCACACUGGGACUGAGACACGGCCCAGACUCCUACGGGAGGCAGCAGUAGGGAAUCUUCGGCAAUGGGGGCAACCCUGACCGAGCAACGCCGCGGGAGUGAAGAAGGGUGUCGGAUCGUAAAGCUCUGUUGUAAGUCAAGAACGAGUGUGAGAGUGGAAAGUUCACACUGUGACGGUAGCUUAACAGAAAGGGACGGCUAACUACGUG